UGGCAGGUCAGCAUACUGCCGUGAAUACGUUCCCGGGCCUUGUACACACCGCCCGUCACACCAUGAGAGUUGGGAAUACCCGAAGCCUGUGAGCUAACUAAUAGAGGCAGCAGUCGAAGGUAGAAUCAAUGAUUGGGGUGAAGUCGUAACAAGGUAAC
rnacentral:rRNA from 1 species